rnacentral:rRNA from 2 species
CCGGUACGGGGGGGGGGGACUAUACAUGCAGUCGAACGCGUUGGCCCAAUUGAUUGAUGGUGCUUGCACCUGAUUGAUUUUGGUCGCCAACGAGUGGCGGACGGGUGAGUAACACGUAGGUAACCUGCCCAGAAGCGGGGGACAACAUUUGGAAACAGAUGCUAAUACCGCAUAACAACGUUGUUCGCAUGAACAACGCUUAAAAGAUGGCUUCUCGCUAUCACUUCUGGAUGGACCUGCGGUGCAUUAGCUUGUUGGUGGGGUAACGGCCUACCAAGGCGAUGAUGCAUAGCCGAGUUGAGAGACUGAUCGGCCACAAUGGGACUGAGACACGGCCCAUACUCCUACGGGAGGCAGCAGUAGGGAAUCUUCCACAAUGGGCGCAAGCCUGAUGGAGCAACACCGCGUGAGUGAAGAAGGGUUUCGGCUCGUAAAGCUCUGUUGUUAAAGAAGAACACGUAUGAGAGUAACUGUUCAUACGUUGACGGUAUUUAACCAGAAAGUCACGGCUAACUACGUGCCAGCAGCCGCGGUAAUACGUAGGUGGCAAGCGUUAUCCGGAUUUAUUGGGCGUAAAGAGAGUGCAGGCGGUUUUCUAAGUCUGAUGUGAAAGCCUUCGGCUUAACCGGAGAAGUGCAUCGGAAACUGGAUAACUUGAGUGCAGAAGAGGGUAGUGGAACUCCAUGUGUAGCGGUGGAAUGCGUAGAUAUAUGGAAGAACACCAGUGGCGAAAGCGGCUACCUGGUCUGCAACUGACGCUGAGACUCGAAAGCAUGGGUAGCGAACAGGAUUAGAUACCCUGGUAGUCCAUGCCGUAAACGAUGAGUGCUAGGUGUUGGAGGGUUUCCGCCCUUCAGUGCCGGAGCUAACGCAUUAAGCACUUCGCCUGGGGGAGUACGAACCGCAAGGUUGAAACUCAAUAGGAAUUGACGAGGGGCCCGCACAGCGGUGGGAGCAUGGUGGAUUAAUUCGAAGCUACGCCGAAGAAUCUUACCAAGGU